AUAGGGGACCUACCCAUGGCAAGAGGUUCAUUGUGUUGACAGAAUAAAUCCAAGACCACUACAGUCAUUACCGCUAAAGCCGUCUGCCACCGUUGAGCUUGAUGAAGGAGCUAUGGAAUUUCAACUGCUCUACCACUAGCUCCAUCUAUCACCUGCAUUGUCAAACCAGAUGCCUGGGUCUUCAUAAUUCACGUGUCAAACAGUUUACAUGAGAGUUGUCAGUGAUUCCAAACAAAAGCUUCCUUCAACAUCAUCUUCACAUGGAUCACACUGUGGAAGAGACAACCUUGAAAACCAGAACAAAAAGGAGGACAUGAGUUCGAGUGUCCAAAUAUCUGAAAAAAGGUUAGUAACUGCUUGGUCUUUAAGUAGGAUAUGGAAAUGGAAAGAGAUAGAGAAAGAGUGAGACAGAAAGACUGAGAAAGAGUGGGAAAGGAAGUAUUAGAGAACGAAUGAGAAAGAAAAAGAAAGAGAGAGAGAGAGAGAGAGAGAGAUGAAGAAAGUGUGAGAAAAUAAAAGUAGAGAUAGAAAUGAAAUAGAUAUAUAUGAGCUAUCGCCCAAUCUUACCCUGUCCAGAGCCAUAGACAAUGAAGUGCUGGUAAAGCACUCAAGAGUGAGGAGUUCAUCUACAUGGUCGAAAGGAAGGCUUUGGAAAAAUUCUGGUAAGUGUGGUGAUAUUAAAAGCAGAAGGGAGCAAUCAAACUUAUGCAAACUUAGUGUUGCUGCCGAUUUUAAGUAAGAAUAGAGACAGAAAAGAAACAAAUGUACAUGUAUAUGAGGUAGAGCCCAAUUUUACCCUGUCCAGAGCCAUAGACAAUGAAGUGCGGGUACAGUAUUCAAGAAUGAAGAAUGUCGUCGUCUACAUGGUAAAAAAGAAGACUUCAAAAAUAAGCCUUUAAAAAGAAGCCUGGUAAGUGUGGUGAUAAGCAGAAGGAUGCAAUCAAACUAAAGCAACCUUGCUUUUGGCAAAAUACUAUGGAUUUAGUGGUACAGCCAAAAUGCUAGAGAACAAUCACCUGUUCAGGUCCAAAAUAGAGAGGAAUAGAAUUUGACGACAUCCAUAUACACAUGGAGUCAUGUUUUAGAAAAUGAAAAUCGUUACACGUUAGAUGUGUUCUUGAUUCCUUCUUUUUAUCAUCUGUACAUUUGUAGAUUUGAAUAACACUGUCCGUGUUCUAAAUGAUG